rnacentral:rRNA from 1 species
AUUGAACGCUGGCGGCAGGCCUAACACAUGCAAGUCGAACGAGUGGCGGACGGGUGAGUAAUGUCUGGGAAACUGCCUGAUGGAGGGGGAUAACUACUGGAAACGGUAGCUAAUACCGCAUACCAUCAGAUGUGCCCAGAUGGGAUUAGCUAGGAGGUGGGGUAAAGGCUCACCAAGGCGACGAUCCCUAGCUGGUCUGAGAGGAUGACCAGAAACACUGGAACGGAGACACGGUCCCGACUCCUACGGGAGGCAGCAGUGGGGAAUAUUGCACAAUGGACGCAAGCCCGAUGCAGCCAUGCCGCGUGUAUGAAGAAGGCCUUCGGGUUGUAAAGUACUUUCAGCGGGGAGGCGUUACCCGCAGAAGAAGCACCGGCUAACUCCGUGCCAGCAGCCGCGGUAAUAC